CAGAGCAGGUUAAUGAGGUGUGACUACCCAUCUGGAAUUACACAGAGCAGGUUAAUGAGGUGUGACCACCCAUCUGGAAUUACACAGAGCAGGUUAAUGAGGUGUGACUACCCAUCUGGAAUGACACAGAGCAGGAUAAUGAGGUGUGACU